GGGUAUUAUUGAGAGAAAAAUAAACAAUGUGCCAUUCUGGACAAAUAGCUGUGGACAAUAUAUGCAGUCAGAGUAGCCCAUUUUCUCACACAGACCUGAAGAUAAGAUUUCCAGUUUAAAAUGAAAAUGAAUCAUUAUUAACAGCAAUUAGGAGUAUUUCUCAGCUGAAAAGCCAGGUGAAACUAUAAGGUCACUAUGAUUUACUUUCAUAUUAUCAUUCUUUUCAGAUUUUUUCCCCUGUGUUUUUUUUUUUUGUUAGAUGAGGAGCAACCAGUAAGAAAAAGCAAAAAGAUGUUUUGAUGUUGCCUGAGGCACCUUAUUUUCCAUUUCAUGCACAAUCACAAAUGCAGCACAUCAAUCAAUUUCUUCCAACCAGCGAAUCAAGAAAUCUUGGAGUGGAGAAUCAUUCUGAAAGUAGACCAAACACAGGACAACAUCACAGCAGUGAUCGGAAAAAUGCAGCAAGCCAAGCUGACUUUCAAAAGAUGAUUCGUUAUCUGUUUCUUCAGAGGGGAGGCAGUUUGGGAGAUGGGAAUUAGGAGGAUGCUACAGUUACACAGGGCAAAUUUCAGCAGCUCAGUUUCAAACUUGCAACUAACAUUGAGUUAUAGUGAGUCUGUG